AGAGUUAGUCGGGUAGUCGCUAUAUCUUGAAAAUCAGAUAUGGAGGAAAGUCCGGGCUUCACAGGACAAGGUGCCAGGUAACGCCUGGGGGGCGUGAGCCUAUGGAAAGUGCCACAGAAAAUAUACCGCCUAAGUCCAUUAAGGACCGGUAAGGGUGAAAUGGUGCGGUUGGUGAGUUAUCGGCUUAAUGUAAGAGCGCACCGCAUUGAUGGUAACAUCAAUGGCAGGGUAAACCCCACCUGAAGCAAGACAAAUAGGGGAAUUAUAAUGUGGUCCGCAUUGUUCCCGGGUAAGUUGCUAGAGGUGUUUGGUGACAAGCAUCCCAGAUGAAUGACUGCCAUACGGAUGAUUUUUCAAGCCGGCUUUUGAU
rnacentral:RNase_P_RNA from 13 species